AGUGAACGCUGGCGGUAGGCCUAACACAUGCAAGUCGAACGGCAGCACAGUAAGAGCUUGCUCUUACGGGUGGCGAGUGGCGGACGGGUGAGGAAUACAUCGGAAUCUACUUUUUCGUGGGGGAUAACGUAGGGAAACUUACGCUAAUACCGCAUACGACCUACGGGUGAAAGCAGGGGAUCUUCGGACCUUGCGCGAUUGAAUGAGCCGAUGUCGGAUUAGCUAGUUGGCGGGGUAAAGGCCCACCAAGGCGACGAUCCGUAGCUGGUCUGAGAGGAUGAUCCGCCACACUGGAACUGAGACACGGUCCAGACUCCUACGGGAAGCAGCAGUGGGGAAUAUUGGACAAUGGGCGCAAGCCUGAUCCAGCCAUACCGCGUGGGUGAAGAAGGCCUUCGGGUUGUAAAGCCCUUUUGUUGGGAAAGAAAAGCAGCAGGUUAAUACCCCGCUGUUCUGACGGUACCCAAAGAAUAAGCACCGGCUAACUUCGUG
rnacentral:rRNA from 1 species